AGAAGAGAAACCUUCCAGCUGGGUGAAAAAGGGAAAGAAUUUGGUGGCUUAACUGCAUCUUAAAGCAGAACUUAAUCCAACCUCCUGUUUUCAACAACUUCUUCAUACACCUCAUCCUCCACACUUCCAGAGAAAACCCUUUACUGGAGUUUCAAGACAGAGUGGAGGUGAUUCCAUCCAGCCCUUCAGGAUUAGAUUCUAUCUAUAUGUUGAUGACUUCCAACAUAUAUCUCCAGUACAGAUCUCUCCACUGAACUCAAGACCCCAGCUGCUUCUUCAGCACUCUCACCUCAAUGUCCAACAGAAAUAUGAAAAAUAAUAUGUUGAUUCCCUAUAACUCUUUCUCCUGAAGUCUUCUCCAUCGUAGCAAAUGUCAAUUCCAUUCUUCAGAAUGCUUUGGUUCACUGCAUCCCUCCUCGCUUGAAAUUAAACUCCUGGGCUCCUCCCUUUUUUUCCUGUCUCAUGUCCAGUCUGUCAGCAAAAUAUUUUAUUUCUAGAAUUUAAUUGCUUUUGUACCACCCAAGUCCAACCUACUAUCAUCAUGCCCCCAGAUUAUUGCCAAAGCAUCCCAUUAGAACUCCUUGCUUCCACCGUUGACCCCAAAUGUAUAUUCUACACAAAGUGGC
ensembl:lncRNA